rnacentral:rRNA from 1 species
CCCUUAGAUGUUCUGGGCCGCACGCGCAUUACACUGAUGAAUUCAACGAGCUCCUAACCUAGGCCGAAGGGUCCGGGUAAUCUUUGAAAUUUCAUCGUGAUGGGGAUAGAUUAUUGCAAUUAUUAAUCUUCAACGAGGAAUUCCUAGUAAGCGCGAGUCAUCAGCUCGCGUUGAUUACGUCCCUGCCCUUUGUACACACCGCCCGUCGCUCCUACCGAUUGAAUGGUCCGGUGAAAUGUUCGGACCGCGACAAGGCGGACGGUUCGCUGUCAGCUUUGCUGCGGGAAGUUCAUUAAACCUUAUCAUUUAGAGGAAGGAGAAGUCGUAACA